UUAGCUACCAGGUAUAUUAUUCACCUUGUGUAUGCGUCAUGCGUCAGAGACGCCAACGACGCGAGCGAGGCCGGCGGCGCAUGUGAACUUCACUUGUUUGGUGACCCGUCUCUUUGGAUGUAGCCUGUGUGUUGGCCUCCCGGCGUAUUCCUUCGUUCCUUCUACUCUUCAACACGGCUCCACUGGAUUGUUGCACUACGACUAGCUUAUCCAGCGUAUUUUCACCUACAUGCUACACUGCAGGGAAUCGGACGCACACAGGACUGCCGGGAAAAGCGGACAAUGAUGCUGGAAAAGGGCGUGAACCAAAGCCGGAAGAAUAUGAAAUACCUGAGCAACUACAGGGAUCCCCAGAAGAUGCUCGCAAGGUUCUCAAGUUCAUUCAGAGUACGGAAACUUUCUGCCUUCUGAUGGUUAAUAAAGACCAGCUGCCCUAUACUUUGAAGGACUACAGCCCUUGCUUGAAAUCAAGAUACAUUAAAAAUACUUCUUCAGGAGCUGAGCGCACGUUAGAAGGCUACGAAGAAAUGAAAUUCCCAGUAAGAAGAAAAAUUUCAUGUUGUCCCGGUAACGGCUUAUUGCAAAGUGUGGUGUUCUACCAGGCAGGCAGGAACCAGGCGGUUGAAGGGAAAGUACGCAAAAGGAAUUUCUUUAUUCCAUGGACAAGGUAACUGGCGAGCGCCAGCGCAGCUGAGUCGCUGCCUGUGAUAAGCUGAGAAGAAGUGAGCGGGCUACGCUCAGCGCCGUGGUGUAUAAGCCCUUGUCAAAGGGGUGUGUCGCAGUAGCGUACGUGUCGGUUAUCGGUAGACGUGCAGCCACAACGCAAGGUUUUCCAGUUCUGCGCCGUCUAGGAGAGACGAUGAGGAUGAGAGUCAGCUGUACGAAUUGAAAAUAAACCUGGCUGAUUUUCUUUGGACUUCUUCAAUUUUAUUGUAGUUGGUUUGUGUG